AGAGUUUGAUCCUGGCUCAGAUUGAACGCUGGCGGCAUGCCUUACACAUGCAAGUCGAACGGCAGCACGGGGGCAACCCUGGUGGCGAGUGGCGAACGGGUGAGUAACAUAUCGGAACGUGCCCUGGAGUGGGGGAUAACUAGUCGAAAGAUUAGCUAAUACCGCAUACGAUCUACGGAUGAAAGUGGGGGAUCGCAAGACCUCAUGCUCGUGGAGCGGCCGAUAUCUGAUUAGCUAGUUGGUGGGGUAAAGGCCUACCAAGGCAUCGAUCAGUAGCUGGUCUGAGAGGACGACCAGCCACACUGGGACUGAGACACGGCCCAGACUCCUACGGGAGGCAGCAGUGGGGAAUUUUGGACAAUGGGCGCAAGCCUGAUCCAGCAAUGCCGCGUGAGUGAAGAAGGCCUUCGGGUUGUAAAGCUCUUUUGUCAGGGAAGAAACGGCGGGGGCUAAUAUCCCUUGCUAAUGACGGUACCUGAAGAAUAAGCACCGGCUAACUACGUGCCAGCAGCCGCGGUAAUACGUAGGGUGCAAGCGUUAAUCGGAAUUACUGGGCGUAAAGCGUGCGCAGGCGGUUGUGCAAGACCGAUGUGAAAUCCCCGGGCUUAACCUGGGAAUGGCAUUGGUGACUGCACGGCUAGAGUGUGUCAGAGGGGGGUAGAAUUCCACGUGUAGCAGUGAAAUGCGUAGAGAUGUGGAGGAAUACCGAUGGCGAAGGCAGCCCCUGGGAUAACACUGACGCUCAUGCACGAAAGCGUGGGGAGCAAACAGGAUUAGAUACCCUGGUAGUCCACGCCCUAAACGAUGUCAACUAGUUGUCGGGUCUUAAUUGACUUGGUAACGCAGCUAACGCGUGAAGUUGACCGCCUGGGGAGUACGGUCGCAAGAUUAAAACUCAAAGGAAUUGACGGGGACCCGCACAAGCGGUGGAUGAUGUGGAUUAAUUCGAUGCAACGCGAAAAACCUUACCUACCCUUGACAUGGCAGGAAUCCCGGAGAGAUUCGGGAGUGCUCGAAAGAGAACCUGCACACAGGUGCUGCAUGGCUGUCGUCAGCUCGUGUCGUGAGAUGUUGGGUUAAGUCCCGCAACGAGCGCAACCCUGGUCAUUAGUUGCUACGAAAGGGCACUCUAAUGAGACUGCCGGUGACAAACCGGAGGAAGGUGGGGAUGACGUCAAGUCCUCAUGGCCCUUAUGGGUAGGGCUUCACACGUCAUACAAUGGUACAUACAGAGGGCCGCCAACCCGCGAGGGGGAGCUAAUCCCAGAAAGUGUAUCGUAGUCCGGAUUGCAGUCUGCAACUCGACUGCAUGAAGUUGGAAUCGCUAGUAAUCGCGGAUCAGCAUGUCGCGGUGAAUACGUUCCCGGGUCUUGUACACACCGCCCGUCACACCAUGGGAGCGGGUUUUACCAGAAGUAGGUAGCUUAACCGCAAGGAGGGCGCUUACCACGGUAGGAUUCGUGACUGGGGUGAAGUCGUAACAAGGUAACCGUAA
rnacentral:rRNA from 1 species